CAAUGUUGUUGUUUCUGGUGGUUGAGAUGUAGUUCCCUGAGGUCCUGUUGUUGUUUCAGGUGGUUGAGUGGUAGUUCCUGGUGGUCCUGUUGUUGUUUCAGGUGGUUGAGUGGUAGUUCCUGGAGGUCCUGUUGUUGUUUCUGGAGGUGUGGUGGUAGUUCCUGGGGGCAAUGGUGUUGUUUCAGGUGGUUGAGAUGUAGUUCCCGGAGGUCCUGUUGUUGUUUCUGGAGGUGUGGUGGUAGUUCCUGGGGGCAAUGGUGUUGUUUCAGGUGGUUGAGUGGUAGUUCCUGGAGGUCCUGUUGUUGUUUCUGGAGGUGUGGUGGUAGUUCCUGGAGGUCCUGUUGUU